GAGGGGAUAGCUCAGUGGUAGACCAUGUGCUUAGCAUGCACGAGGCUCUGGGUUCAACACCCAGUACCCCCA
rnacentral:tRNA from 1 species